rnacentral:lncRNA from 1 species
CUGGGCUUUAAGAGGCCUUGUACAUUUCCCCCGGUGUCUUGUGUUCCUACCCCUUCCAUGAAAGUGAUAUGUUUGGACUAAGCCUUGGUUCCAGGUGGGAGAAGAAAGGUACUUGGUGCAGAGAGAAGCUGCAGCAGCUCCCAACAGAGGGAUUACCACAGAGUUGCCAGUCAUCAUCACGUUUCAUCAACACGUUUGAAGAACAGUUAACAUUCAAGAUUUAACACAUGACUAUUUUCCAGAGUGUGACCAUGGGGAUUUACCAGGAAUGGAGCUUGGAAGGCUGGAAGUUGCUCUGGAUGAUACAGUGAGUGAGUGUCUUCUGCACAUUUGGAGCAAAAGAGACACAAAUUGGAAAAUAAAGGUGGCUGAAUAUUGUGCAAAGGAGAGAUACCGUCUGGGAGCAGCAUUAUUUCACUCUCAAACGUUCUACUUGUAAUUUAAAUGGUGCUGUCUAUAUGAGUCAAGUUACAGGUCAGAAAAAUUAACCUCCUAUAAAACAACAACAUUUAUUUUCUAACAAACUUGCUUUCAUUUCCAGCUAUGUCACUAUAUUUAUGUUAAAAAAAAGGAAAAUAUUUUUCUGAACUAGUGUUAAUCUGUGGAAUUACAAAAGAUAAACUACAAUAGCUGGCAAUAGAUGUUAAAAUAAUGUAUAAUUUCACUGCUAAAAUAUCAAUGUGCAUAUUUGGAAGUGUUUUUCUUAAAAACAAUUUUAGAUAUUUGGAAGGCUCUAUAGCUUAAGGAAUAUUUAUUAUAAAAUUUUAUGUCAUAAAAUCAUUCAUUUUCAUAAAAUUCCCACAUAAAUAAAUACUUGAAUAAUUAUUAAUUUGAAAAGUUUACAAUGUUAUUAUCAUAUGAAUGCUGCUUUCAUUACAUGGAUAUGGUACACAUGAAUGUUAUUGCAAAUGUGCUAUGCACUUAAACAUUCGGUGAAAAUAUCAACUCCAACUGCUUAUAAAUAUAUAUAGUAUUCAAAUAUCUAUAUAUUUAUACACUCUACAGUCAGCACAUAUGCUGAAAGCAACUGAAUUGCUGUUGCUAAGCAUUUAUCUCUAUUUUUGAAAUUGAUUUCCUUUGCAAAAGAGAAAUGUGGAUCUCACUUGGAGAAAAUCUAUGCCUUUGGGGCAUUUUAUAAUGAAUGGCUUCGCUUUUUCUGUGAAAGUGCUUGUACUAUUUUGAGAAAUGGAUAUACACUAGGAUGGUUACCAGCAGUUUGCUUUGUUGUAAUUUCUGAAAAACAGCUUUUCGUGUUUCUGAGAAUAAUUGAUUUUUAAAAAUAGUACUCCCAUAGCUGUAGGACUUAUUUUAUGUUAUUUUUCUCAUUGCUUUUUAAAAUAUAUGCUUAACUAAAUUUUGCAGCAGUAAAUAUGAAUUACACAGUGGUGUUUUUGUUUUUAUUUUUAAUUUUUAUGGAGGCAGGAUCUUGUUCUGUCACCCAGGAUGGAGUGCAGUGGUGCAAUCAUAGCUCACAUAGCUCAUAAAUUUCUUUUUCAUAGAUUAAGCAAAAUGUCAAACUCAAGUAUUCUCAAAUAUAAUAAAAUCUAAAGAAUAUUCUGAUAUUAAAUCAUAAAGAAUAUUUUAAAGAAAGGCCAAAUAUGGAUAAUUCAAUUAAAAUUAUCUGUUUAAACUUUUGGUUGCUUUUUGCAUUGUGUACAAUAUUAUUUAAAGGUGUCUUAUAUGUAAGUGAUAAAAACUUUUCUGGAGUUUCCAAAAUGGAAAUAAUAUUUUCUAUGUGUAUAUAUUAUUUACUAUUAAGAAAAUGAAAGGCUUCACAAUUUUAGAAGGAAAAUUAGGAUGAAAAUCCAGAAGGGUUCUAUUAAAUAAAAAUGUUGUUCAGAACCUACAGAAAAGCAGACUAUGAUCUACAGAGCUGUAUCAUUUUGCUUCUUCUUACUUAGCAUAAUUCUGAAAUCUUUUAGAUUUCCGUGACCUCAUGAUAGCAUGGGAGAUUGUCUACCUACAUUACUUACUGAAAAGUAGAUUUUAUUAUUUUCUCUUGCCAUUAUUGACUUUUUUCCCUUUUUUUCUGUUACCAUUAUAGUUUCACAGAAGAUUCACACAUAAGUUAUUAGCAUGUAAGACUAAAACUCAACCCUCUUUAAAAGAAGCCAAACACAUUUCAGACUCCUAGCAAUGUAAAAAUAACAAUGUCCAGUGUUCAAUCAAGAAUUACCAGACAAAUAAGGAGGCAGUUAUGUGUAAUGAGAAAAUUUAGUAAAGAACAAUAAAUCUAGAA